ensembl:rRNA 5S_rRNA 5S ribosomal RNA
GCCUACAGCCAUGCCACCCUGAACACGUCUGAUCUCCUCUGAUCUCAGAAGCUAAGCAGAAUUGGGCUUGGUUGGUACUUGGAUGGGAGACCAUCUAGGAAUACCAGGUGCUGUAGGCG